UACGUAGGGCGCAAGCGUUGUCCGGAAUUAUUGGGCGUAAAGAGCUCGUAGGCGGUUUGUCGCGUCUGCUGUGAAAACUCGAGGCUCAACCUCGGGCUUGCAGUGGGUACGGGCAGGCUAGAGUGCGGUAGGGGUGACUGGAAUUCCUGGUGUAGCGGUGGAAUGCGCAGAUAUCAGGAGGAACACCGAUGGCGAAGGCAGGUCACUGGGCCGCAACUGACGCUGAGGAGCGAAAGCGUGGGGAGCGAACAGG
rnacentral:rRNA from 1 species